UACGUAGGGUGCGAGCGUUAAUCGGAAUUACUGGGCGUAAAGCGUGCGCAGGCGGUUUUGUAAGCCAGAUGUGAAAUCCCCGGGCUUAACCUGGGAAUGGCAUUUGGGACUGCAAGGCUCGAGUGCGGCAGAGGAGACUGGAAUUCCUGGUGUAGCAGUGAAAUGCGUAGAUAUCGUAAGGAAGACCAGUGGCGAAGGCGGGUCUCUGGACAGUUCCUGACGCUGAGGCACGAAGGUCAGGGGAGCAAACGGGG
rnacentral:rRNA from 1 species